rnacentral:lncRNA from 1 species
AUGACAAGGGAACCCCCACUACUGGUCCCAAGUGGGUGGCAGCAGGGUCUGCCUCCCUCCCGUCCUGCUCGGAAAGCCGCGCCUUGUUGGGGUCAGCAAAGGCCUUACUCAGCCAGGGCAGCCCGUGGCUCCAGAGUUUUUAACCCAGAUUUGGCACCUGUGACUGUCAUCAAAGGCACUCUCAGCUCCUUUUCAGUUUUCUGGAACCGGCUCACCAGAAAACAGCACGGCGAGGGGGUGGGGCAUGGGGAACCUGCGGCUGUGUUGGUUCUGCAUGAGUCUGCCCUGCCUUUUUGUUCAUUGGCUUUGAGCAGCUCCCAUUCACCUGUCGACGUCAUAGACCACGGGCACAGGAGAUGCAGCUCUCACCAAAACAGACCCAGUCAGCUCUCCUGGUGGAGUUUCCUCCUGCCACGGGGGUGCAGAUCCAAGGGAGCUCACAGACAUGCAAAGAAGGAGAUGCAGAGAGGUGGGCAGAAUGGAGAAGAUGAAGGAGAGAAACAGAAAAUUUGUUUGAAACUGGAUCUAAAAUGUCUCUAAGCACGUGGAAGUCAGUCAUGUAAAUGCCUCCUCCCCGUAAACUUCAUCUUUCUGACAAGGUUUGUGUUAUAAUUAAAGCCUGUCUGAGUAUUCACCCGACUGUUGCAUUGUAGGGUUUUCCUUAAGAGACAGGGUUUUUUAACAGCCAGAUAAAUGCUCCACGUGGCCCAGCCCAGUAGCACAGCGACACCCUGUGGCCAUGUCUAGUCAUGACCCCCAUCGCGGGGCCACACAGGGCUUGACUCCAGGAGGGCCUGCUCCAGAGAGAUUUGGGGGUGAAUAUGGGCGUUCGCUUGCCAUUUGAAUGCUGGGAGAUGUGCCCAAAGAGGGCCAGUCUUGAGCCAGAGGAGCCAGCCCCAUGCAGACUUAAAUGAGAUACAACAGGUCCAAGGGCCGAGCCACAAAGCCCAAGGCAAUUCUGAAUCUCUCGUCAGAUGCUUCUCCCAGCCUCUCACUGAGACAGGUGACAAACAAAUCCAUUUAGGGGCAGUGGAGUCAACUUUUUCACCUCUGAGGGGAAAGAUGGCUUUGGUCCACUGAUGUGGGGCUCUCCAGACCCAUGUUUAAAUGACCAAGUAAUAAAAUAAACAUUUCAGUAGAAUAAAACCA